rfam:Arabis alpina cultivar Pajares Aa.chr2_contig_2430, whole genome shotgun sequence.
ACUCCAUGGUGAGGACAAUAUCUAGUGUAACCCUUCAAUCUUUCCCGUGCUUCAUACAGAGCUUCAUUUGGACCUUGCUUGAAGCUUGGGAUAUCAUUUCUAAUCU